rnacentral:tRNA from 1 species
GGUGAGGUGUCCGAGUGGCUGAAGGAGCACGCCCUGGAAAGUGUGUAUACGGCAACGUAUCGGGGGUUCGAAUCCCCCCUCACCGCCA